CGGGGUGCCUCCGACGGGUUACUUCUCCCGGCUCCGGGUGUGUGAAAAAGAUUCCUAGGAUCGAGCGUCAGAGGCAGACGUGAUUGGGUUUUCUGAUGCCUCCUCCUCAUGACCUUGUUCGACGCAUUCAGAUCCACCAAGAGCCGGAAGGUCUCCGCUUGAAGCUGUUGAGCACGAACGUCUAAAGCCGCCCGCUCUGCUGCCAUCCUGACUUCCUCUGCGGCUAGAUUUUUCUUAGCUUGCAUCAUCUCUUCACGACGGUAGUCUAGGUCGUUCGGAAAACCUGAGCCGUGGCGACACGAGAAACCAGAUUUCUGCGGCGGCUUGUGCUUCCUCUGGCGGCGGAGCAAUGGAAGCCGACGGGUUGGAGUUCCCGGCAGAUCCCGUGGACCGGUAUGCUCGUAAUCGGCACUACAGUGGGUGGAGAAAAUUCAGAAGAUGAGACCCCAAACAAUAGGGGAUUGUUGCUAGGAGGUCGAACAUGCGAUCAUGAAGCUCAGGCGGCAGCAAGCCGUGAAGUUGUUCUAAGUAUGAGGUUGAAAACUUGUGCCAUGUUUACAGAUGUAGUGCCAUACUGUCCAGCUGAGCAACCAUCGCAGACUAAUGAUGAGCGGGUGAGUAAGUACAAGGAAAUGUAUUAUGCUGCCGGCCGUCAGUUGUCGGUAUACUGACAUGAUGGUAAAAUGCAAGUAAUGCUGAUGGUGGAACAAGGGUUGGCGGUGGUACUGAGGCUGCACAAGUUGAAUGUUCAACAUCACUGGCAAGAGACAUGGUUAGGGAUCAUGGUCUUGCCACAGGGUUGUGUGGCCAGCCUGGGAUUGCUGAGUACAUGGAGAAGUGCAGAAUUCCGUACAAGGUCAUUUCCAAAGGAAGGGAGCAGGAUAGGGUGAGUGGUGCUGGGAAUCCGCCAGGUGAUCCGGCGGUGAAGAGUGAGUGGGGAGAGAUGUUCCGUCAUUCCGUCGGACUAAACCAUGACCAGCUCUCGCUUCAGGAUGUUCUUCGGUUCUAUGACAACAUGCUGGGCUGUUCUAGGGAACUGCGGAAGAAAUGGUUUAGGUACUUCAAUCCGUUUGCGGUGGUGAUGUCCAAGCAAGACCUGAAGGAUGAACUAGGACUUGGUGGUGAGUUAUCAAUGACUGGCUGGAGGUGCAUCCAUGGCAUGAUAAGUGCCAAGAAAUGAAGAUGUAUCGCAUGUGGCUCGAUAGAUGGAGAGGGGUUUUCGAUCCAUGCUUCGUGAUGUUCAUCCCCCUUGUUCCACUGGAGGAAGGAUGGUUGCCGCUAAUGUGGGACAUGAUGUCGAAGAAGUUGCCGAUGACACGGCAUUACGACGGCAUAAAACUGAAGCUUCCCCUGACGAAGCACAAUAUGAACAAGCUUAAGAGACAAGCCCUCCACGAGUGUCUGAAGUUACAAGGAAACACAUCCACGCUGGCGCACAAGGCAUUGUGGGCAGUCGUAGCACCUAGUGACUCUUGCUUCAGAAAAAAAACCUUCUACGAGAGAGCCGUCCUGGAAGUAGGCGAUUCUCUUGUGCGCCUUACCUAAUGUACUAUCUUAGGCAUUACUACGAUCUCCGCUGACCAUCAUUUUGAAGAUGUAUGAAUCAUUUCAGCAUAGUAUAUGGCGUUUCGCUCACUUUGUAGCUUGUUUCUUAGAUCCAUGUAAGGAGCAAUCAUUGUUUUACAUUCAUCCUUCAGUGUAGUCUGUAUGAAUGUCAGCUUGGGAUAGCCUAAACUCUUUGGCCACAUCGCCACCUUUGUUUGCUUCUCCUUGUAUUCAUCUACUUGCUAUUUAGACAAACCAGUCAGCACUUAAUGAAAUCACAAAAUCUAGGCCUGAACCCAUGUAAGGCGCCCUAUCUAAUGAGCCAGAAAUUCCUUAAUCAGUUAUGAGAGUUGUUGUACUACAGCAAAAUCUUACAGUAUGAGAGUUGUUGUACUACAUCAAAAUCCAACAGUAGAGUUUACUCAAGGAAACAUUUUCGCAUUGAAAAUUCUCCUGCUGCAGGAGAGUUGUUGUACUCACGCGACACUUGCUCCAGCAGCAAUAUGAGAUUUACAAAUUGUAAGGUCAGAAACCCCACACGCAAACUCGUGUGAAAAUGUUGAACCCACUUCCUGCAUCCAAUGCCACAUUUUGGACGCUUUUUGCAAUCGCACGCUUUGUAAUAUGCCCAGCAUGCAAACAACUCUGAUAGUAGACGCUAAUUGCCAUUAUGCGGCAGGAUCAGCAUUUCCGUGUUCUGUUUUUUGAGAAACAUCAGCAUUUCCGUGUAAGCCUGACGGCUCGGGAUGGCACACAAAAAUAACUGGGCCGUGCGCCAGGGCCUGUUCCGGCCGAGAGGAGACGGCUCCUACCGUUUUUAAUGCGACUGAGGCCUACGUUAUGUUUAUGUCGAUACCUUCUGAAUACAGCUGCGAAUACAACUGAAGGGGCACAUCCCGAUGCGUGUGGACGGAUGUUAUAUCGAGUGCAGCUAAGACUGGGCUCAGAUUCGAAUUUUCGGAUCAUGGCCUACUACUUUUUAAAAUAGUGGAGAUAGAUAUAUCAUGGCCUCUCCCUAAAAAAAACAGAUUGUCCAACAUCCUUUUCCCAUUUUUUGUGGGGGCCUUUCCAUUUCCUUUAAAGUAACAGAACUUGGGUAAGAAACAAGAAUGCAUGGAUGUGAGUCGUGCCUGAAAUGGGACGACAUUAACGUCGUCAAGCCUAAGGCACGCUGGAGCGGCUGAGGAGCUUUAUAUUUAAGUCCCUGUAUUUGUUUGGGCUUUUGCGUCUGCUUUUGCAUCUUUUUCACAUUGACAAAAAAAAAACGAAAAAAGCUCCUAAAUAGGUGAUUUUUGCUUCGGCUUUUGGCUUAUACCAUCAUAUAACAAUACUGAUUCGAAGCAAAAAGACUCUAUUUAGGAGUUUUUUUUUGCCAAAGUGGAAACGCUGCAAAAGCAGAAGUAAGAGCCCAAACAAACAGGGCCUAAGAUUAGUUAGAUAAGAGGGAGGAUGCAUGACGUCGCAGUUAGUUGAAAGCUGAACCCAUCAGAAGUCUGGAAUUCUUUGUCAAGAGACCAAGAAUUUGAGGAACACAUUCUUUGCAGGAGCUACGCUCUAGUCGACUGUUCUACGAGACUGCAUAAUAACGCUAACACUCCUACACGAAGUAGUAUAUAAACGGUAAAGCUGUAACUGUUGUGCCCUGUUCUGACUAUAUGGAUAGAACAGAAUGCGUUACACUGCAUCUGUCACUUGUCGGACAAAGCACACACAGUGAUUAGAUAAUGGCAGCUUGAGUGGUCAGGUUAGAUCACCACGGCCUACCGAUUUUUGCAUAGUACGUAUAUCUUGAAACGGUGAUUGUAAAAUGAAGGUAUUGCUACAACCAACGAACUCUCAUGAAUGGGGACUCCCCCACAAAGAGUACAUAUGCAGCGGGGUCAGCUUAGCUCAGCCCGCCGGAACUGGACCAAAUAUGGAGCUCACAAGUCAUUCUUCAUAGAAACGGAAGGCACAUUUGCUGGGAAAGUUGUGACUGGGCACAUUUAUUGCUGUACAAGGACAUAACUAUCAGAAGCUCACAGUUUCAGCAAGAAUGUGCGUAUCUCCAUGGGCCCCAGCUCGACAACAAGGGAUUGACUGUCAACCGGGCUACCGGUAAUUGGGGCAGGACCACUUUCGGUGUCUCCGACAACCCUCCACUUGAGCUUCCUCAUCGCCGCCUUCUUUUGGUUGGCAGACAGCUUGCCCUUUUUUCAUCAUGUCGUUUAAAGCGCCAAUAGUCUGCAACUGGGUCCCUUCCAUUGUUACUGAAGAUAACUUGAAAGAAUUUGUCACCAUUGGAUUUUUGCCAGAGAAAAACAUUCUGUCUUAUCGUGCUCCUGACCGAACGAAGAACGGCCUCAGCCCAAAGACGAUGAAGUUUUCGUCUUUACUGAUCACAUGAAUCGGGGUUUCUCACCACCCGGCUCAAAGUUCUUCAGAGCCAUUAUGCACUUUUUCAAACUUCACCCACAAGAUCUUGGACCCAACUCCAUAUCCAAUAUCUACAAAUUUCAAGUUCUUUGUGAGGUAUAUCUUCAAGAAGAACCGAUUGUGGAGCUCUUCAGAGAGUACUUUUACUUGAACCGCCAGAAUGAGUGUACCAACGACCCUAGCUUGGAACUUGGCGGAAUCUCAAUUCAACGCCGAUAAGCUUACUCCUGCUGAACGCAAGAAGCUUAUCCCAUCUAUCAAAAGGAUUCAAGCUUUAUUGGGAAAUGGCCUAACUGGAGUUGACCUGAUCCGUUGCUAGAUCGCGUGGCGGGUCAUCCCUUUAAGCUGCCGAUCCAAAUUGAUGUAUGAAUAUGGCAGAGGCCCAGAUGAUUCUCUGCGUCAUAGCUCUGUACAAUUAACUGAAGAAGACAUUGUUGCGAUGUCAACCAUCCUCGUGAAGGGCAAAUACGAGGACUGCAGUAAAGUUGGAUUAAACCCCUUCUGCAAACUUAACCCGGCACCAGAAGCCAAAUCUGUUUUCUGGAAAGCCAAGUAUGAUCAUGAAGCUGCCAAGAAGGCUAGAGCCGCUGCCAUGGCCGCCAGGAAAACAACCCGGAAGCCAAAGAAGAAGAAGACUGCAUCUGACUUAUUCCACCUGGAUGAUGCUUCUGAGUCGGAGGACGACACGGGGGCCAGCCAGGCCGUGGAAGAAGAGGUAACUAUUUCCUCCGACUCAGCCCCUUUGCCAAGACAGAAACUUCGACUGGUAACCCAGAGUAAGGUUUUCACACCCUUUGGCUUAUUUAGACCCUCAUUUUCUUUUGAAAAAACAACAACAUGAGAGCCGCCGUCAGGCCCGGACUAAUGACGACGAUGAACUGCCUUCCGAUUUACAACAAACUCCUCAAAAACGCCAGAAUGAGGAGGUUUCUCGCUCUUCUAGCGACUCGUCGCAAACUCAAUUUCCGGCUUUCAAGACUGCCCCUGGCGGUCAAGCAAAGUCCAAGAAAGCCAAGGUGAUUAAACCAGCAGAAGACCCAAAAAAUCCUGCACCUGAACCGGCAACAUCAACUCCUCCCACUCAAUCUUAAGCGCCAGAAGACUCGGCUGUCCAUGCUCAAUUGGACCCUCCUGAGCCGUCAGCUGACGAAACCAUUGUCGAUCCAUCCACCGUCAGGCUGCCCGGUUCAGCUAACCCGCCAGCGUCUCCUGACCAUGACGUUCUGAUCACUGGCAGCAGAUUCAUUGAGCCGGGUAAUCCAAUAGUGCUGGCUAGGAACUCUGCCAAACAAGAGGCCUUGGAAAGGCAGAAAGUACGGUUUGAUGUCUCUCACUACGCUCACCUGAACGUUAGUGACGUGUUGUCCGACUA